CAUUGACCACUUACACAAACAAUCCGCCAGGGAACUACGAGCCUCAGCUUAAAACCCAAAGGACUUGGCGGUGCCCCAAACCCACCUAGAGGAGCCUGUUCUAUAAUCGAUAACCCCCGCUUAACCUCACCACUUCUUGCCGAAACCGCCUAUAUACCACCGUCGCCAGCCCACCCCGUGAGGGGAAUGCAGUAGGCAAAAUGGCCCUCGCCAGAACGUCAGGUCAAGGUGUAGCGUAUGAAGUGGAAAGAAAUGGGCUACAUUUUCUGACUCAGAACAACACGAAAGGUCACUAUGAAACCUGACCCAAAGGAGGAUUUAGUAGUAAAGAGAAACAAGAGAGUUCCCUUUAACUCGGCCCUGGGGCGCGCA
rnacentral:rRNA from 1 species